rnacentral:rRNA from 1 species
GAUUAACGCUGGCGGCGUGCCUAACACAUGCAAGUCGAGCGGCAGCGAGUUUUACACUGAAUUCUGGAAGCUUCUAGUUGAAAGAGAAGAUUUAUUCAAGAAUUUUGUGUAAAAUGUCGGCGAGCGGCGGACGGCUGAGUAACGCGUGGGAACGUACCCCAAAGUGAGGGAUAACGCAUCGAAAGGUGUGCUAAUACCGCAUAUGGUCUUCGGAUUAAAGCCUUCGGGCGCUUUGGGAACGGCCUGCGUAAGAUUAGAUAGUUGGUGGGGCAAUGGCCUACCAAGUCGACGAUCUUUAACUGGUUUGAGAGGAUGAUCAGUCAGACUGGAACUGAGACACGGUCCAGACUCCUACGGGAGGCAGCAGUGAGGAAUCUUCCACAAUGGGCGAAAGCCUGAUGGAGCAACGCCGCGUGCAGGAUGAAGGCCUUCGGGUUGUAAACUGCUUUUAUAAGUGAGGAUUAUGACAGUAACUUAUGAAUAAGGAUCGGCUAACUACGUG